GACGAACGCUGGCGGCGUGCCUAAUACAUGCAAGUAGAACGCACAGUUUAUACCGUAGCUUGCUACACCAUAGACUGUGAGUUGCGAACGGGUGAGUAACGCGUAGGUAACCUGCCUGGUAGCGGGGGAUAACUAUUGGAAACGAUAGCUAAUACCGCAUAAUAUUGAUUAUUGCAUGAUAAUUGAUUGAAAGAUGCUAUUGCAUCACUACCAGAUGGACCUGCGUUGUAUUAGCUAGUAGGUGAGGUAACGGCUCACCUAGGCGACGAUACAUAGCCGACCUGAGAGGGUGAUCGGCCACACUGGGACUGAGACACGGCCCAGACUCCUACGGGAGGCAGCAGUAGGGAAUCUUCGGCAGUGGACGAAAGUCUGACCGAGCAACGCCGCGUGAGUGAAGAAGGUUUUCGGAUCGUAAAGCUCUGUUGUAAGAGAAGAACGGGUGUGAGAGUGGAAAGUUCACACUGUGACGGUAUCUUACCAGAAAGGGACGGCUAACUACGUG
rnacentral:rRNA from 1 species